rfam:Dictyocaulus viviparus strain HannoverDv2000 D_viviparus-1.0_Cont822.5, whole genome shotgun sequence.
GCCUCGGUGGUGUAAUAGAAAGCACGGCAGACCCGAUAUCUGUAAGUGCGGGUACGAGUCCCGCCUGAGGUU